rnacentral:rRNA from 1 species
CCUACGGGUGGCAGCAGUGAGGAAUAUUGGUCAAUGGGCGAGAGCCUGAACCAGCCAAGUCGCGUGAAGGAUGAAGGAUCUAUGGUUUGUAAACUUCUUUUAUAUGGGACUAAAGUGAUCAACGUGUUCCUUUUUGUAUGUACCAUAUGAUUAAGCAUCGGCUAACUCGGUGCCAGCAGCCGCGGUAAUACGGAGGAUGCGAGCGUUAUCCGGAUUUAUUGGGUUUAAAUGGUGCGUAGGUGGUUAGUUAAGUCGGCGGGGAAAGUUUGUGGCUCAACGAUAGAAUUGCCGUUGAUACUGGUUGGCUUGAGUGUAUUUGAGGUAGGCGGAAUGCGUGGUGUAGCGGUGAAAUGCAUAGAUAUCACGCAGAACUCCGAUUGCGAAGGCAGCUUACUAAUCUAUAACUGACACUGAAGCACGAAAGCGUGGGGAUCAAACAGGAUUAGAUACCCGGGUAGUC